rnacentral:rRNA from 1 species
CCUACGGGUGGCUGCAGUGAGGAAUAUUGGUCAAUGGACGAGAGUCUGAACCAGCCAAGUCGCGUGAGGGAUGAAUGCCCUGUGUAUUGUAAACUUCUUUUAUAUGGGAAUAAAAUGUUCCACGUGUCGUAUUUUGUGUGUACCAUAUGAAUAAGGAUCGGCUAACUCCGUGCCAGCAGCCGCGGUAAUACGGAGGAUCCGAGCGUUAUCCGGAUUUAUUGGGUUUAAAGGGAGCGUAGGUGGAUUGUUAAGUCAGUUGUGAAAGUUUGCGGCUCAACCGUAAAAUUGCAGUUGAAACUGGCAGUCUCGAGUACAGGAGAGGUGGGCGGAAUUCGUGGUGUAGCGGUGAAAUGCUUAGAUAUCACGAAGAACUCCGAUUGCGAAGGCAGCUUACUGGACUGCAACUGACACUGAGGCUCGAAAGCGUGGGUAUCAAACAGGAUUAGAUACCCGUGUAGUC